UACAGAGGGUGCGAGCGUUGUCCGGAAUCACUGGGCGUAAAGGGCGCGUAGGCGGUCUGCUAAGCGUGUGGUGAAAGCUCGGGGCUCAACCCCGAGUCGGCCGUGCGAACUGGUGGACUGGAGCAUGUCAGAGGCAGGCGGAAUUCCGGGGUGUAGCGGUGGAAUGCGUAGAGAUCCGGAAGAACACCGGUGGCGAAGGCGGCCUGCUGGGACAUUGCUGACGCUG
rnacentral:rRNA from 1 species